CCCAGUGCGGUGAUGAGAGCUCCGAGCUGGAAGGCUGACGUCUGUGACUCCUGCUCUCAAAGUAAACGCCCUGACGCACUCCUG
ensembl:snoRNA SNORD105B small nucleolar RNA, C/D box 105B